rnacentral:tRNA from 1 species
GAACCGGUAGCCCAGCUGGAAGGGCGCCCCGCUACGAACGGGGAGGCCGCAGGUUCAAGUCCUGCCCGGUUCGCCA